GCCGGGAUGGUCUAAUCGGUUAAGGCGUCGCCCCUAUGCGAAGGUUGCGGGUUCAAUCCCCGCUCCUGGCC
rnacentral:tRNA from 1 species